rnacentral:rRNA from 1 species
GAAACGCAAGGUAAUACCGGAUGUGGUUUCGAUUAAAGCUGGGGACUUUCGGGCCUGGCGCUAGUAGAUUAGCCUACGUCGGAUUAGCUUGUUGGUGGGGUAAAAGCCUACCAAGGCUGCGAUCCGUAGCUGUACUGAGAGGUAGAACAGCCACACUGGGACUGAGACACGGCCCAGACUCCUACGGGAGGCAGCAGUGGGGAAUAUUGGACAAUGGGGGCAACCCUGAUCCAGCAAUGCCGCGUGUGUGAAGAAGGCCUGCGGGUUGUAAAGCACUUUCAGCGAGGAGGAACGGUUUUCAGUUAAUAGCUGAGAAAGAUGACGUUACUCGCAGAAGAAGCACCGGCUAACUCUGUGCCAGCAGCCGCGGUAAUACAGAGGGUGCAAGCGUUAAUCGGAAUUACUGGGCGUAAAGCGUGUGUAGGUGGUUUAAUCAGUCAGGUGUGAAAAUCCAGAGCUCAACUUUGGACUGUCGCUUGAUACUGUUAGGCUAGAGAAUUGUAGAGGAUAGUGGAAUUUCCGGUGUAGCGGUGAAAUGCGUAGAUAUCGGAAGGA